rnacentral:rRNA from 1 species
GCGAGAAUCUUCCGCAAUGGACGAAAGUCUGACGGAGCGACGCCGCGUGAUGGAUGAAGUCCCUCUGGGACGUAAACAUCUUUUAUGAGGGAGAAAGUUUAUUGAUAGUACCUCACGAAUAAGGGGUUGCUAAACUCGUGCCAGCAGCAGCGGUAAUACGAGUGCCCCGAGCGUUAUCCGGAAUCAUUGGGCGUAAAGGGUGUGUAGGUGGCAUUGUUAGUCACACGUUAAACCCUGGGGCUUAACCCCAGAUCUGCGUGUGAUACGGCAAAGCUAGAGGAUGGCAGGGAUGUAUGGAACUCAUGGAGUAGGGGUGAAAUCCGUUGAUAUCAUGGGGAACACCGAAAGCGAAGGCAGUACAUUGGGCCACUCCUGACACUGAAACACGAAAGCGUGGGUAGCGAAUGGGAUUAGAUACCCUAGUAGUCCCUGAGCGGGCUGGCAAGGCGCAU